UCUUAUGGAUGAGCAAAGAAAGUGGCUUCUUGAGAUGGAAUCUACUCCUGGUGAAGAUGCUAUUUA
rnacentral:pre_miRNA from 1 species